UACGUAGGUCCCGAGCGUUGUCCGGAUUUAUUGGGCGUAAAGCGAGCGCAGGUGGUUUAUUAAGUCUGGUGUAAAAGGCAGUGGCUCAACCAUUGUAUGCAUUGGAAACUGGUAGACUUGAGUGCAGGAGAGGAGAGUUGAAUUCCAUGUGUAGCGGUGAAAUGCGUAGAUAUAUGGAGGAACACCGGUGGCGAAAGCGGCUCUCUGGCCUGUAACUGACACUGAGGCUCGGAAGUGUGGGGAGCAAAUAGG
rnacentral:rRNA from 1 species